GACGAACCGAGCGAACGUUAUUCGGAAUCACUGGGCUUAAAGGGCGCGUAGGCGGACGAUCAAGUCAGGGGUGAAAGCCCCCGGCUCAACCGGGGAAGUGCCUUUGAUACUGGUCGUCUCGAGGGAGGUAGGGGCGUGCGGAACUUCCGGUGGAGCGGUGAAAUGCGUAGAUAUCGAGCGGAACACCAGUGGCGAAGGCGAGUCCCUGGACAACUCCUGACACUGAGGCACGAAAGCUAGGGGAGCAAACAGG
rnacentral:rRNA from 1 species